rnacentral:rRNA from 1 species
GACGAACGCUGGCGGCGUGCUUAACACAUGCAAGUCGAACGAAGUGGCGAACGGGUGAGUAACGCGUAAUCAACCUGCCCUUCAGAGGGGGACAACAGUUGGAAACGACUGCUAAUACCGCAUACUGAAGGAGGGGAUUGCGUCUGAUUAGCUGUUUGGAGGGUUAACGGCCCACCAAGGCGAUGAUCAGUAGCCGGUGUGAGAGGAUGACCCGUCACAUUGGUAGUGGGACACGGCCCAGACACCUACGGGAGGAAGUCGUGGGGAGGCUGACGCAAUGUACGAAAGUCUGACGGGGCAACGCAGCGUGAGAGAUGACGGCCUUCGGGUUGUAAAGCUCUGUUAAUCGGGACGCGGUACCGGAAUAGAAAGCCACGGCUAACUACGUGCCAGCAGCCGCGGUAAUAC